rnacentral:lncRNA from 13 species
AAAAUAUGUAGGGGUAAUCAUGUCAGUCACUAGGCACGCAAUUCCAGAACUUCACGGCACCCCACCUGGGUGUGAGAACAGCACCUCCCCACCUGGCUCUGUGACAUGGGCAUGGGUUCUCUGGGGCAGGAGAGUGCCUCCUGGGUAAAGGCAUUUGGGCGAGGCUCUGUGCUAGAGUCCCGUUCAGGGACAUCACAACACAUUAGCCUAGUAAAGGCUCUGGGAAGUCCUGCUGUGGAGAAACACAUUUCAUUGUAUUUGACCCUGUGUUUCCACAGACAUGUCACACUACAGAGCUGACUUCUCAGGCCCUGGUGAAGGGCCAUCAUUCCUCCUGCUAGAGCCUGGACCAUCAUUCCUCCUGCUAGAGCCUGAACCAUCAUCCCUCCUGUUAGAGCCUGGACCACCAUCCCUUCUGCUAGAGCCUGAGACACCAUCCCUCCUGCUAGAGCCUGGACCGUCAUCCCUCCUGCUAGAGCCUGGACCAUCAUCCCUCCUGCCAAAGCCUGGACCAUCAUCCCUCCUGAUAGAGCCUAAGCUAUCAUCCCACCUGCAAGAGAGCCUGUGUCAUCCCUCCUGCUAGAGCCUGGGCCAUCAUCCCUCCUGCUAGAGCCUGGGCCAUCAUCCCUCCUGCUAGAGCCUGGACCAUCAUCCUCCUGCUAGAGCCUGGGCCAUCAUCCCUCCCGAUAGAGCCUGGACCAUCAUCCUCCUGCUAGAGCCUGAACCAUCAUCCUCCUGCUAGAGCCUGGACCAUCAUCCUCCUGCUAGAGCCUGGACCAUCAUCCCUCCUGAUAGAGCCUGGACCAUCAUCCUCCUGCUAGAGCCUGAACCAUCAUCCUCCUGCUAGAGCCUGGACCGUCAUCCUCCUGCUAGAGCCUGGACCGUCAUCCCUCCUGCUAGAGCCUGGACCAUCAUCCCUCCUGCUAGAGCCUGGGCCAUCAUCCUCCUGCUAGAGCCUGGACCAUCAUCCCUCCUGCUAGAGCCUGGACCAUCAUCCCUCCUGCCAAAGCCUGGACCAUCAUCCUUCCUGAUAGAGCCUAAGCUAUCAUCCCACCUGCAAGAGAGCCUGUGUCUGAUUUUCAGCCACAUCUGCCCUGCAGCUUCAAGGGAGGUUUCUAAGAAUCUCAUCAAGCUCCACAGAGCCCCCAGUAGGCCCCUUGUGCCUCCUCAGACAGGAACCCCAAAACAGUGGCUUUCUCUCAAGGCUUGUGAUGCGGAAAGCAGAAGGCAGCACUCCUACCAUCCUCAUCAGCACCACCACCCUCACAAUGGCCACUGUCCCUGCGUGUCCCAGGUCUCACCUCCACCCUCACUGCAGCCCAGUCAGCCCAGCGAAGCCAGGACACUGUGGAGAUGCCUGGACCUGGGCAGGAGGCAAGAGAUAGCCCUACUGUGUCGGAUGCUGCUGUCUGAAGUCACCCAGAGCCCACAUCAAAUGGAGAGAAGGGCAGGGCUGCUCUGAAGGUGGCGGAGGGUGGGGCACACAUGUCUAGUUGGAUAAACGGUGUCUCCUGGGAGAAGCCAAGCCCCAAUUGACCAAGAGGCUCAGGGCCCAGGAGAGGGAACAGGCACAAAAGCAGAGGACCUGGGCUUUGGGAUGGGAAACAACGGGCUGCUGACUGCUCUUCUCAGUCGGCCUCAUCCGGGCCCCACUUCAGCCCCUGGGGUCCAGCUGUCACAAGAAUCCCACUAAGGCAGCUUCGAGCCAAUCCCCGCCCUGGACGGGGGAUCUCUCUGCCUUGAGCAAGAAUCUGUGAAGUCGGUUUAGCACCAAUCUCCCUGCCCUGAUGCCUCCCCCUUGUCAUUUUCCAUCCAUCCACCAAGCCCCUACCCGGCUCCCGGGCUGUGAACCCCACUUGUCCUGGCAUCUGGGAUGGAACCGUCUCUCUCCCCUAUGCAAUAGUCUUGAAUAAAGUCUUCCUUGCCAAGGGUCA